AUGGCAGUGUAUCUGUUUCUUAAUUCCAUUAUUUUACUUUUAGAUUUGUGUGAAUUGUUAGAUACUACUGUAUUGUUGGAGCUAGUAACAUGAAGCAAUUCGCUACACAAGGAAUGACAUCUGCUUAAUAUGUGUACAGUAUGUGACCAAUACAAUUUAAUGUAUAAUACCCUGAGCACUUACAUCUGCGUUUGAAUCACUUGAAUCACUUGUGUUUGAAGAGUCAAUCCGAUAACGAAACGAAACCUAGAGAGGCAUAGACAGGAAUGUAACAAAACCAACAUAAUUUCCUAAAUACCUGUUCAACACAACACAUUUCUGGCUAUAACAGCCCAUAACUUUGCAACCUGUUGAACUGACCCAUGGUUCUUCAGAAGGCACACCUCCCAGGUGAGCAAGAUACUAUACAAUACACUCUAAGCAUAUGAUGUAAGUAUGACCUACAGCAAUUCAGAGAGAGAAAGAGAGAGAGAGAUGUGUGCUGUCCAAUGUCUAGAGCAGGGCAGGGGGAGGAGUGAGACCGUGUGAGGGACUUCAUUCUUGAGCACUGCCGUUGAACUUGACAAUAAAAAGCAUAACGUUCUCAGAUAAGCUUUUCCUGUUCUGAUUUAACAUAUUCAUGGACUGUGAGAAGAGUUUCUCAACAUCCACAGAUGUGGUGGGGAGCCACAAAUAAAGAGAAGCAAUGCGGGCCCCAGUUUGCAGCCUGUCUUUCAGCUCCUGCCCACCAGUCCACUGCUCUCACCUGUCUGGCAUCAGUUUUGUUUAUUGACAUGUAGUUGUGCCACUCCUCUUCAGAAACCUCACUCAAAGCAGGGAUGAUGUGCACAUAGUCCUUCCUCUCUUUCCUGGACCCUUCCACUCGUGCUGGAUCGAAUAUGUAAAGAAAGCUAGUCCCUGGUGCCUUUCCAUCACAGCCUGUAGCUUAAUGGCACAUUCUCCAUGGCAAACUUAAGGAGCUCUGCACACACAUCUCUCUCUUGCUCUGGAAGUUCCUCCAGCUGAGUGGUGGUGCCAGUCAUCUGCCUCUGCCUUGCUACCAUACUCCAAGACGUGUAGGUUCUGCAACUUGUUGCCGAUGUUGUGGGCUUAUGGCUCUGAUGUCUUCUCCAGCUUCUUAAGGAAGACCACUAACUCCAAACUGUGGUCAAUGAUGAACACAUAGGCCUUUAGCGAGGACUUGUGAUUCCCCAGCAGCUGGGGCAGGUGGUGGGCCCAUACCUUCCAGACCUACGCCUGCAUGAGCAGGGUCUGAACCCAGAUGAAAGCCACCAAUAGGAAGCUCAGAGAGACAGGGAACCCUGUGCAGUUCUUCGAAAUGUCCGUCUACAGCAACAGGUAUGGACAAACCAGACAUUUCACCAGGAGAGUCAUGUCUUCUUUAAUAUGAUACGAAGGAUAGGGUUUAGAAUUCUAUAACAAUGGAAAUAAUUCUCCCCUCCAAAAACAUUGCUGUAAGUAUGUGUUAGUAUCUGUACAGCUUCCACAAGUGCCUCUAAGCACACCCCUCUCAUUUGUCCUAUGUUGUUGUUCUGUCUGUGUCCAGAUACGUCUUUGCAGCGAACCUGUAUGAGAAUGAGAGUCUGAACUAGACAGAGUGGUCUAUCUACCAGGACUGGCACGGCUGGCUCCACAAACAGUUUUUUAAAAAUGCAUCGCGCUGGACGGCAUCAUCUACCUUCAAGCCGCACCAGAGAGAUGCAUGGAGAGGCUACAUCUGAGAGGCAGAGAGGAGGAGCAGGGCAUUCCUCUGGAGUACAUGGAGAAACUCCACUUCAAACACGAGAGCUGGCUGCAGCACAAAACCAUGUGGCGAGAGAGGGAGGAAGGAAGUGUUGAUGGGAUUGUGAACGAGGAAGGGAGUGUUAAGGAAGGGAGUAGGUUGAGCAUGGUAUAGGAGUAUCUGAUUGACACGCCCAUUCUGACGCUGGAUAUCAACAACAUUUUUAAAUGGGACAAGGUCAAGGGUGCCGACAUGGUGGAAAGGUCAAAGAGUUUCUCAGUACAUUGUAAACACCAGCAGAUGACCAUCAUAGCCUGCUCUGGAUGUGGAACUUGUUUUGAAAUGAAUGAUGUCAAUUAUUUUUUAUAUUAUAUUUAAAGCAUUUGAAAUGUAUCGACCUGCAUGGGUACCUGCAUGGGUAAACACAAUAUGAUACGUUUGUAUAGCUUGGAAGGGGAAAAAACCUGAAUAUGUGUUUCUUUAUUAGAAAUCAUUUGUGCUGUUUUUAUAAACGUCUAAAAUAAUAAAGGGCUACCAGUAUAAAGGAA